CUUCCUGGGUUUCUUUGGCCAGCACGGCGGUGAAUGGAUGAGUGAGGGUGGCAAAGAGGAAUACACUGGGAUGGAAAAUCUACAGAGAUACUGCGAGAUUUCUGCUUUAUGGGAACCCCCGUUGGUUUGACUGCACCCAUUAAACUGAAUGAAGCUCAACACGAUCAGAGAUGGUGCAGACUGGCGGUGUGUGGAAGUGAUCCAGUUUAUCACUUCCCUCCAUUUUUGCCUCAUAUGGUCCUCCAGCUAAGGUGCAUCUAGUGUAGUUAGUGAAGUAUUCAAAGUCUACUGCCCUAGUUGCCCCUUCUGUCUGGAGGGCUUGUUUUUCAGUUCACUUCAAUUUUGUGUAGCGCCCAAUCAUCAAGACGACUUAAGGAGCUUUAUAUUGUAAGAUAAUGAUGCCCCCCAAAUGAACGAACACAUGGCGACAGUAGUAAGGAAAAACUCUUAACAAGAGGAAACCUCCAGCAGAACCAGGCUCAUGUCUGAAAUGAGUUUUGGUUUGGCCUUAUAUGAAAGGUACUU